UAUCCGGAAUUAUUGGGCGUAAAGGGCUCGUAGGCGGUUCGUCGCGUCCGGUGUGAAAGUCCAUCGCUUAACGGUGGAUCCGCGCCGGGUACGGGCGGGCUUGAGUGCGGUAGGGGAGACUGGAAUUCCCGGUGUAACGGUGGAAUGUGUAGAUAUCGGGAAGAACACCAAUGGCGAAGGCAGGUCUCUGGGCCGUCACUGACGCUGAGGAGCGAAAGCGUGGGGAGCGAACAGGAUUAGAUACCCUGGUAGUCCACGCCG
rnacentral:rRNA from 1 species